UACGGGGGGGCAAGCGUUGUUCGGAAUUACUGGGCGUAAAGGGCGCGUAGGCGGCCACCGCAAGUCGAUUGUGAAAUCUCCGGGCUUAACCCGGAAAGGUCAACCGAUACUGCGGGCUAGAGUGCAGAAGGGGCAACUGGAAUUCUCGGUGUAGCGGUGAAAUGCGUAGAUAUCGAGAGGAACACCUGCGGCGAAGGCGGGUUGCUGGGCUGACACUGACGCUGAAGUGCGAAAGCUAGGGGAGCGAACGGG
rnacentral:rRNA from 1 species